UACGUACCGGACGAACGUUAUUCGGAAUUACUGGGCUUAAAGAGUGCGUAGGCGGCCUUGCAGGUGGGGUGUGAAAGCCCACGGCUCAACCGUGGAAUUGCGCUCCAAACCGCAAGGCUUGAGGGAGACAGAGGUGAGCGGAACUGAUGGUGGAGCGGGGAAAUGCGUUGAUAUCAUCAGGAACACCCGUGGCGAAGGCGGCUCACUGGGUCUCUUCUGACGCUGAGGCGCGAAAGCUAGGGGAGCGAACGGG
rnacentral:rRNA from 1 species